rnacentral:rRNA from 1 species
GACGAACGCUGGCGGCGUGCCUAAUACAUGCAAGUUGAGCGCUAAAGGAUGGUACUUGUACCAACUGGAUGAGCAGCGAACGGGUGAGUAACGCGUGGGGCAUCUGCCUUUUAGCGGGGGAGAACAUUGGGGAACGAAUGCUAAUACCGCAUAAAAACUUUAAACACAAGUUUUAAGUUUGAAAGAUGCAAUUGCAUCACUCAAAGAUGAUCCCGCGUUGUAUUAGCUAGUUGGUGAGGUAAAGGCUCAACAAGGCAAAGAUACAUAGCCGAGCUGAGAGGGGGGUCGGGCCAAACGGGACUGAGACACGGCCCAAAACUCCACGGGAGGCAGCAGUAGGGAAACUUUGGCAAUGGACGAAAGUCUGACCGAGCAACGCCGGGUGAGUGAAGAAGGUUCUCGGAUCGUAAAACUCUGUUGGUAGGGAAGAACGUUGGUGAGGGUGGAAAGCUCAUCAAGUGACGGUAACUACCCAGAAAGCGCCGGCUAACUACGUG